rnacentral:tRNA from 1 species
GCAGGCCCCGGUCGGCGCCGCCGACGUCGUCCUCGACAAGGACGAGGUCGAUCGGGUCGUCACCGAACAGGUCGGCGGUUCGGCGCUGUUCGCCUCCC